AGCGAACGCUGGCGGCAGGCCUAACACAUGCAAGUCGAACGAACCUUUCGGGGUUAGUGGCGGACGGGUGAGUAACACGUGGGAACGUGCCUUUAGGUUCGGAAUAACUCAGGGAAACGUGUGCUAAUACCGAAUGUGCCCUUCUGGGGAAAGAUUAAUCGCCUUUAGAGCGGCCCGCGUCUGAUUAGCUAGUUGGUUGAGGUAAUGGCUCACCAAGGCGACGAUCAGUAGCUGGUCUGAGAGGAUGAUCAGCCACAUUGGGACUGAGACACGGCCCAAACUCCUACGGGAGGCAGCAGAGGGGAAUCUUGCGAAAUGGGCGAAAGGCUGACGGAGCCAGGACGCGUGAAUGAUGAAGGUCUUAGGAUUGUAAAAUUCUUUCAACGGGGACGAUAAUGACGGUACCCGGAGAUGAAGCCCCGGCUAACUUCGUG
rnacentral:rRNA from 1 species